rnacentral:misc_RNA from 1 species
CCAAACUUGGUCAUUUAGAGGAAGUAAAAGUCGUAACAAGGUCUCCGUAGGUGAACCUGCGGAGGGAUCAUUACCGAGUGAGGGCCCCCGGCCCGACCUCCAACCCUUUGUUUGAAUGACCUCUGUUGCCUCGGGGGCGACCCGGGCCUCCGCCCGGCGCCCCCGACGGGCCAACUCUCCAACGCUGCAUCGUUGCGUCGGGUUUACAUGAGAAAUCGAAUUAAAACUUUCAACAACGGAUCUCUUGGUUCUGGCAUCGAUGAAGAACGCAGC